UUCUGUACACAUUAACUUUGUGUUAUCUUGUACCAAACAGGAGUAAAUGCAGAAGUAAAAAUGUUUGAGGAAUUAAGGGCAGGAAUCCUGUAUCAGUUUGCUUCCUACUUGCAUCACCAUUCUUUGGCCAGAGAGUGGGAUUUUCAGACCAACAGAAUGUUCAUGAGCUGCUAUAUGGUAUCUUGAUAUUAGAAUCAAUGCAUCUUUAUGGGGAAAGAUCAGCC